rnacentral:rRNA from 1 species
GACGAACGCUGGCGGCGCGCUUAACACAUGCAAGUCGAACGGAAAGGCCUGCUUUCCCUUGUGGAUUGCGGGUACUCGAGUGGCGAACGGGUGAGUAACACGUGAGUGAUCUGCCCCCAACUUGGGUAUAAGCCUGGGAAACUGGGUCUAAUUCCCGAUAGGACUUCAGGUUGGUGCCUGUGGUGGAAAACGAUUUUCUAGUGGUUGGGGAUGAGCUCGCGGCCUAUCAGCUUGUUGGUGGGGUAAUGGCCUACCAAGGCGGCGACGGGUAGCCUGCCUGGGAGGGUGGACGGGCACAUUGGGACUGAGAUACGGCCCAGACUCCUACGGGAGGCAGCAGUGGGGAAUAGUGCACAAUGGGCGGAAGCCUGAUGCAGCGACGCCGCGUGGGGGAUGACGGCCUUCGGGUUGUAAACUCCUUUCGACCGCGAGGAAGCCACCUGGUUGGAAGGGUGGUGACGGUAGUGGUAGAAGAAGCACCGGCUAACUACGUG